AAAUGUGGUGCAUAUAUGCCAUGGAAUACUAUGCAGCAAUUAAAAAAGAAUGAAAUUCCGUAAUUUGUGGCCAUGUGGAUGAGCUCAGAGGAUAUUAUGUUAAGUGAAAUAAGCCAGGCACAGAAAGAUAAAUACCAUGUUUCCUCACUCACAUGUGGAAGCCAAACAAGCUGAUCUCAUAGAAAUACAGGAAUACCUUGUUUUAUUCAUCUUUGCUUUAUUGCAUUUUGCGGAUUUUUUUUUAACAAACUGAAGGUAAUUGUGAAUUAUGUUUAUCUUCAAAAGUACCAAUAAAAUCAUAUACAAAAGUCAGAAGAACAAGAUGUCAGCGUUGGUUUUGUUGUUGUUUUUUUUUCAUAUGCUAGAGAAGGAAAAGAUUUCCUUAAUCAGGAGUAACUUCUUAUUUUGUAAAAUGGGACAGAUAUUCGUAUUCUGACUACCUGCUUGUGUUUUUGAGGUCAAAUGAAAUCACAUUCUUUUAGGAAGAGGCAGUCCUCCGUGGGCGCUGAGCAUCCUUCCAAGUUCUUGCUGACAAUGCCAAACAGCAAGGCUUAUGGGUCUCUUGAUACUAAGCUAUUUCUGUGUCUAGUCACAUAGGCAACUAAGUAGGUCAAGGCAACCACAGUAACAAGUUUAGUCCUUGCCAUUGUCUGUGAAGUUGGGGUUCUUCUCUUAAACUCCUCAACUCUAAAAUCUUCUUUCUCUUACAGUACCAUAGCAACCAUAGCAUCAGUUAUCAUCUACGUGCUAAGGAUCCCAAAUUUGUUCUUCAGAUCUUCUAAGUUUCUAGACCUCAUAUUUAUCUGCCUACUGAAUGACUUCCCUGGAUGUAUUGUUUGCAUUAAUUACAAAAAGCACAUAAAUAUACACACAUGUAGGAUUUAUAUCCAUACUAGUAGCUUUUAUAACUUCCCAUGUAUUUACCCUGGAUGUCCCACAGGUAACUCCAAGUACACCUGUCCAAAACUAAGCUCAUUAUCUCCUUCAUUCCCUACUCAGAUUUGUUCUUUUUUCCGCCAUCUACCUUAUAUUCCUAGUUAUAAACCAUCCAUCAUGUUCAUUCACUCCUUUCUCGUUAUCAAGCCCCCCAAUACGCACGUAUUCAAUUAUUCACCAUAUUCCUUCAUUUCUACCCACUUACUAUGUCUCUAUUCCAUUCCUUCUCCUCCUCCAUCCCCAUUGCCACCG
rnacentral:lncRNA from 1 species